rnacentral:rRNA from 1 species
GACGAACGCUGGCGGCGUGCUUAACACAUGCAAGUCGAGCGGUAAGGCCCUUCGGGGUCCACGAGCGGCGAACGGGUGAGUAACACGUGAGUAAUCUGCCCAUCACUUCGGGAUAACUCCGGGAAACCGGUGCUAAUACCGAAUAUGACCACUUCAGGCAUCUGAUGGUGGUGGAAAGUUCCGGCGGUGAUGGAUGAGCUCGCGGCCUAUCAGCUUGUUGGUGGGGUAGUGGCCUACCAAGGCUUCGACGGGUAGCCGGCCUGAGAGGGUGACCGGCCACACUGGGACUGAGACACGGCCCAGACUCCUACGGGAGGCAGCAGUGGGGAAUAUUGGACAAUGGGCGAAAGCCUGAUCCAGCAACGCCGCGUGAGGGAUGACGGCCUUCGGGUUGUAAACCUCUUUCAGCAGGGACGAAGCGCAAGUGACGGUACCUGCAGAAGAAGCACCGGCCAACUACGUG